rnacentral:ncRNA from 1 species
AAAGAUGCAGUGAAAAGAAGAGUACGAUCAAUUUUUUCUUGAUAGAGAAUUCGUGGUUGGUGGAAACGAAUAAGAAGAAUGAUCCGAACAUGGUCUUUGAGCAUUUACGGACGAAUAAUCCGUAACGGAGAAAGCCCGUUAACGCAAUGCAGUUUGUUCAAACGAACUGACCAAGUUUUUUUGUGCAAGCAAAAAAUAAACCUAAGGUGGUACCACGAGAUGAUCGUCCUUUCA